UUCAUCUUCUUAGUUGAAAAAUCUGGGUUUCAUAGUUAACAUUCAUCUUCUAUUACAAAAAAUACGAAACUGAUAUAUUUGUUUUCUGCAUUCUCUAUUGUGUAUUAUGUCUAAACCAAAAUUCGAUUCUACUCCUUCACGUAGAAGUCCUAGAAUAAUUGAAAAUAGUAGUCCCAUUCAACUUUCUAGACCUUCGUUUAAUUUAGGUUGUUCCACUCCUUCUCCUCUAUCAAAUUGUAAAAAAAAGUUGUUGAAAGUGGUCUUACAACAAGAAUCAAAAUCAGUGUUUGCCUGACAAAAUUGAAGUCCCCUUUAUUCAUGAACCAUCGAAGAAGCUAAAUUUGAACAAAAAGGUUGUUAUUCCUCAAGAUAAGAGGAAUUAUAAGAGAAAGAAUUUGGAUAGUGAACAAGUGUUGGACUCCGAUUUUGAGGAUGAGAUUUCAUUACUCAAACCCAAAAAAUUCAAGUGUGAAAGAGAAGCACCUUCUCGAGUAACAAGGGCUAGGGCUAAAGAAAAAAAAUGCAAAAAAUGUGUCCAACAAGAAUUCUCGAAAAGUUUGCAAGGAGCGAAAAACAUACAGUCAUUGGGCAUCGUACAUCAAGGUUGAUGUUUUCGAUGAUCUUAUGUUAAGAUGGAAAAAGAAGCACUUUGAAAGGUCAUCGGAGGAUCUCAUUUUUAAUAAGUAUUUGAAGACAACAAUGUUUAAGCGUGAUAGCAACGAGGUAAUCUCAACUACACUACUAUAUAUUAGCUUUAAUUCUAAAUCAAUAUCUAUUUCAUUCUCAUUUUACACUUGUUAUCUAUUUAAACUAACUCAUUUUUUUUUAUACUAGUAUCAAUUCAAAGAUAUUGUCUUUACCGAUGAGGAAAUGGUAAAGUACAAUCUUCUUGCCAUACAUCAAGAUAGUUUUCAUCAAGAG